AUGAGGAAAGGAUUGGCAGAUUAAGACAUGGUCUGGAGAUAAACAAGUUACAUCUUGUUUUGUCACGUUCCCAUAGCAAGCAGGAAAACAAGUCAGUCAAAAACCUCCCAAUAAAUGUUAAAAAGUAUUUCCCUUUGUGUACCUCAGUUCUGUAUUGGUUUCUCUCAUUUUUGCAUCCCUAGCAAAAGAAAGAAGAGUUGCUGAUUUCACUUUACAUACCAAUAUUUGCAGGUUUCACCUUCAUGACCUUAAAAGAGAGUUUCCACAUGUCUACCCAGUAUCAUUUUUAUUUAGAUAAAAGAAGAUGCUUUUAAAGCAGAGAAGCCUCCCAGAAACUACCUCACUCAUGUGAUCUGCAUUGACAUCAACAAUAGAACAAAUUACUAUCGUGUGCCUCCUGGGACGCCGAGAAAGACACAAUAUCACUCCUAUAGCAUUCAUGUGUAACUCUGAUCUAAUCAUAAGGAAACUACCAGACAGACCUAAAUUUAAGAAUAUUCUACAAAACAACUCUCUUUGCCUUUCAAAAAAUGUCAAUGUCAUGAAAGCCUGUUCCAGAUUGAGGGCACAAAAGAGACAAGACAAUUAAAUGCAGAGGAUGACCCUGGAUUGGACCCUGGAUCAAAGAAAAAAUGGUGCAAAGAUUGCAGCCUGCUGCCUGGCCAUUCUGCAGGCUGGGAAGCACAGCCUCUGGUAGAAACUGGAAGGGAGCACUUCAGAGAAGGAAGGAUAAGACGGGAACUGAAGCUGAACAGGAUACUGACUCCUUCUGCCUCCAUGCUAAAUACACUUGGCUGGUUAUCAAUGUGAUUGAAUAUCGUGAUGGACAAUUUGAUGUGUCAACAUGGCGAGGCCACAGUUCCUAGUUAUUCAAUCAAAUAGUUGUCUAAGUGUUGCUGGGAAGGUACUUUGUAGAUAUAAGUCCAUAAUCAGUUGAUUUUAAGUAAGAGAUAUUAUCAUAGAUAAGCUGAUCAGGCCUGAUCCAAUCACAUAAAAGGUUUCAAGAGAAGGAGCUCAGGCUCCCUGAAGAAGAAAUACUGCCUGAGGACAGAGUCUCAGCCCGUGUUUUAGAGUCUCAGCUUCCUGAAAACUUGCUCCCCAGAUUCUAGACCUACCCAACCAGACAUCACAGUUGCCCAAGCUGAGUCCUUGCAGUAAAUCUCUCAGUAAGUUGCUCUUACUCUUUCUAUUUUUUGUAUGAACCUUGCUAAUACAAACUUUUUAAAGUUUUAAUUUUGUGAAUUUCCCAUUUAUUUUCCUUGCCUGUAUUUUUAUUGGCGUAUGCUUCUGUUUAUUAUAAAUGGGAUAAGUUCUUUAUUAGGUAGCUUUUUUUCCCCAUCCCCACCACCAUUUCCAAAUGCAUAGGCUAGAGAAUCUGAUGGCUCAUUUUAGGUCGGCAGCUUACCCCUGGUUCAGUCACCCAUGAACAGGGUAAUGGGAUCAAGCUACCCAAACUGGCUUUUCAGGGCCCCUUCUGUGAACCCCUCUUGAGUGAGGUAUGAAAAGAACACUUUCUAGGAGAAGGAGUCCUUGCCUCUUGGGCUGUACAGAACACUACAUUUGAAAUCUUGACUAAACUAUAUAAAACAAACUUGUCUGUUGAACACCUCAGGCAAGGUAUAGAUCACCUUUCUAUAAAAUACAAGGCUAUGAUCAUUAAAAAAAAAUUGUUUCCACUAUUAAAUAUAUUCUGGAGGUGGACAUCUGUUGUUUUCUAUUUGGCAGCAAUGCCCCACUCCCAUUCCUGCUAAGAACAGCACCCUGAAUUUUCUUUGUGAAGGGACCUUUCUUUCAUUCUCAGUCAUGUGGCUCACACAGAAUGCUAAUGUCUUCUUGUCCAUAGCCUUUCAGAGCUGGAUGCGUAAGUCAAGCAGCAUCGAUGCCAAUGACCUGUGAGGAAACAUUUAAGGAGGAGACACUACCUCUCUUUUCUGAAGAAUCAAAUAGGUGACUCGUUCUAAUUCUCUUGGGUGUGUGAAAGGAGGAUGAGAGCUUUGAACCUACAGCUACUGUUUAGUAACUGUGAGGAGAUGUCCUGAGAUUUCCAAAUAGGUCUCUGUCUGAGGACGUAGUCAGUAUUUAGAAAACAGAACAGAGGGAUAAAGAGAAAAAUCAUCUGUUGCAUGACUAAAGUUGCUGGAUCUAGCCUCACCUGAAGAGAUGUAUCUUGGACUUUUCUGUUACAUGACCUGACAUCUUCUCUUUAUAUUAAUCUACUUACUUGGACUUUUCAUGACUUGAAAUUAAAUAUUUUUGUGGACACAAUUUUUCAUGUGGACUUAUGUAUUCAAUUUUAGCUGAAUCAUCCAUAAAAAAUAUUUUUGUAAAUGGUUCAUCAAAUACUCCAAGUUAAUGCUUACUUUUAUCUUUCUUUCCCUUAAUCUGAAAACUGCACAAUUCAAUAUAUUUUAUUUUGAAAAUAAAACAUUGAGUUUUUAUGCCAAGGGUUGUGACAUACUAGGAAGAAAGAAAUCCAACAGCCA
ensembl:lncRNA